rnacentral:rRNA from 1 species
UACGGGGGGGGCAAGCGUUGUUCGGAAUUACUGGGCGUAAAGGGUUCGUAGGUGGCCAACUAAGUCAUACGUGAAAUCCCUCAGCUUAACUGGGGAACUGCGUCUGAUACUGGUUGGCUUGAGUGCAGGAGAGGAACGCGGAAUUCCAGGUGUAGCGGUGAAAUGCGUAGAUAUCUGGAGGAACACCGGUGGCGAAGGCGGCGUUCUGGACUGUAACUGACACUGAAAAACGAAAGCCAGGGGAGCAAACGGG